rnacentral:tRNA from 2 species
GACCCAUUAGCUCAGUUGGUAGAGCAUCUGACUUUUAAUCAGGGUGUCCCGCGUUCGAGUCGCGGAUGGGUCACCA